rnacentral:rRNA from 1 species
AUUGAACGCUGGCGGCAUGCCUAAUACAUGCAAGUCGAGCGGACACACGGGUGCUUUGAUCCGCUGGCGAUUGCCGCAGGGGUGAGAAUUACACCUGAAUAACCUCCGUAGAGGGCGGUAAUAACUUGAAAGAAGCGUAACUACUGCAUAAGAACUUAGGAUGCAAGCGGGGGAACUACUGGCAUAGCGUUUUGCGGUCGCUUAUUGGUUGAUCAGCGCCGCAUUAGCUAGUUGGUAAGGUAACGGCUUACCAAGGAAACGAUGAGUAGCCGACCUGAGAGGGCGACCGGCCACACUGGAACUGAGACACGGCCCAGACUCCUACGGGAGGCAGCAGUAGGGAAUUUUCGGCAAUGGGCGAAAGCCUGAUCGAGCAACGCCGCGUGUGUGAAGAAGGCCUUCGGAUUGUAAAACUCUGUUAUCCGGGAAGAACACCUGUGCCCGAAAACAUUCACGUCAUGACGGUACCUAAACAGAAAGCACCGGCUAACUACGUG